rnacentral:rRNA from 1 species
GGGAUUGCCCUAGUAACGGCGAGUGAAGCGGCAACAGCUCAAAUUUGAAAUCUGGCUCUUUUAGAGUCCGAGUUGUAAUUUGCAGAGGGCGCUUUGGCUUUGGCAGCGGUCCAAGUUCCUUGGAACAGGACGUCACAGAGGGUGAGAAUCCCGUACGUGGUCGCUAGCUAUUGCCGUGUAAAGCCCCUUCGACGAGUCGAGUUGUUUGGGAAUGCAGCUCUAAAUGGGAGGUAAAUUUCUUCUAAAGCUAAAUAUUGGCCAGAGACCGAUAGCGCACAAGUAGAGUGAUCGAAAGAUGAAAAGCACUUUGGAAAGAGAGUCAAACAGCACGUGAAAUUGUUGAAAGGGAAGCGCUUGCAGCCAGACUUGCUUGCAGUUGCUCAUCCGGGCUUUUGCCCGGUGCACUCUUCUGCAGGCAGGCCAGCAUCAGUUUGGGCGGUGGGAUAAAGGUCUCUGACACGUUCCUCUCUUCGGGGAGGCCAUAUAGGGGAGACGUCAUACCACCAGCCUGGACUGAGGUCCGCGCAUCUGCUAGGAUGCUGGCGUAAUGGCUGUAAGCGGCCCGUCUUGAAACACGGACCAAGGAGUCUAACAUCUAUGCGAGUGUUUGGGUGUCAAGCCCGAACGCGUAAUGAAAGUGAACGGAGGUGGGAACCCGCAAGGGCGCACCAUCGACCGAUCCUGAAGUUUACGGAAGGAUUUGAGUAAGAGCAUGGCUGUUGGGACCCGAAAGAUGGUGAACUAUGCUUGAAUAGGGUGAAGCCAGAGGAAACUCUGGUGGAGGCUCGCAGCGGUUCUGACGUGCAAAUCGAUCGUCAAAUUUGGGCAUAGGGGCGAAAGACUAAUC